AUGUUCUGGAAGUUGGGCAAUAGGGGCAGUACAGGAUUCCUACUGGUGUACCGACCUCCCCGCUGCACCAAGGAUUCCCUGCCCGAGCUGCUUCAGGUCGUGGCGGAUAUGCUCCUGGAGACACCUAGCUUGGUUGUCCUGGGGGAUUUUAACAUCCAUGCCGACACGACCUUACAAGGGGCCGCUCGGGACUUCGUGGAAAGCAUGGCCUCCAUGGGGCUGUCCCUGAAUAAGUUUGGCCCAACUCAUAGCCAUGGACAUGCCUUAGACUUGGUGUUCACCUCUAUGGAUGUUGGUGAUCUGACACUAACUAAAAGCGAAACAAAAGAAGUGCCAUGGUCAGAUCACUUCCUGGUGCAACUGGACUUCUCUGCAACCCUUCCCCUCUGCAGGGAGGUGGGACCGAUUCGGAUGGUCCGCCCCCGCCACUUAAUGGAUCCAAUUGGCUUCCAGAGAGUGGUGGGGGAUGCUUUAUCCCAAGUUGAUGGCCUUUCAGCUGAUUCCCUGGUGGCACGCUGGAAUGCGGAGUUAACCAGGGCUAUUGACUGUCUGGCUCCGAAGCACCCUCUCCGAUUGCAUGGAGCCCGGACAGCCCCGUGGUUUUCCCCGGAGCUGAGGGUGAUGAAACAAUCGUUGAGACGGCUAGAGCGCCGGUGGCGGAAAACUCAUUCUGAAUCAGACCGGACACGGGUUAGAGCUCAACGUCGAGCCUACCAAGUGGCAAUGGCGACGGCGAAGAGGGCCUUCUUCGCCGCCUCCAUUGCAUCUGCAGAAAACAGCAGCAGGAGACUUUUUCAGGUGGUUCGCAAUCUAUCGGAACCACCUGUACCACCGGGGCCUGGUAGGGACCCCAAGAUCUCCUGCAAUGCUUUUGCAAAGUUUUUUGCAGAUAAAAUCGCUCAGAUUCAGAAGGAGGUAGACUCCACCGUGGGAGCAGGGCCAGGGCGGGAGAGUGCUAGAGUUCUGUCUGGUCCUGUUACAUGGGAUCAAUUCCAGUCUGUUACCUCCGAGGAUGUGGACAGGCUGCUUGGAAAAGUGAAACCGACCACCUGUCUCCUUGAUCCUUGCCCAUCCUGGCUGAUAAAAGCGAGCCGGGAAGGGCUGGGCGAUGGGCUCUGCGGGGUGGUGAAUGCUUCCCUCUGUGAGGAGCCUUCCCAGACCCGCUGA
rnacentral:lncRNA from 1 species